rnacentral:lncRNA from 1 species
AUGAGCCAUAUGGAAAUAUCAUUUUAUCAUAUUAUUCAUUUUUUAUGAUAUAGUAUUUGGAAUCCAUUGGCGUUUUAUGUCUAAUUUUAAUAUUGAUUUGAUCAGCAUAUUAUAUGUCACGACGACGACAUAGUCGUGACGAUAUGACGUCAUGAUAAUGACGCCAUUCAGUUAUUGUAUUAGUGACGCCAUCCAUCGUGGCGUCACAUUAAUGCCACUGCGGUGCAGCUGUGACGUCAUCCCGAAUUUGAAACUGACUCUAAAGGAUUUAAAUGAAGGCAUUUUCGCUGUUAUCUUAAAAUGUCCCCUGCGGUUAAUCUAUGUUAUCUGCAGAAAAAAAAAAUCGUUACUAAGAAUAAGAAAUCUUUAUUUGAUCUUGACGAUAAAGUAAUUUUAGCUGACAGAUGCGAUAUCAGUUUUAAUCAUACAAAAUUAUGUAUUAUCGAAUUUAUUACGGAAUAAAAAAUAAACUUUUUCAUAAUUUUUCAAAAUAUUAAUAUGUAUUGUGUGUGUGUGUGUGUGUGUGUGUGUGU